CGGUGGAGUUGGUCGGUUACGUUGGAUAUUUCCGGUAACAUAAAUUGAAACAACGGCGGUGACGGAGUUAACUAUAAUUAUCAACGCUACAACCGCCUCUUUCUCACAAUCACCAAAACCCUUUAUCACUCUUCUUCUUCUUCUUCUUCUUCUUCUUCACUUACCAUUCCUGACAGAGGCCAGAGGUUAUUCAGAUAUUCCAACAAGGCGGUUCUUGCGGUUACUAAUCGAACAACUGCACUUGCCUACCUAUUGUUUGGUAGUGUGGCAGCAGCACCAACAUCAUCUAAAAAGAGCCAUGACGACUUGCGUGGGCGUGAGUCCAAACCGGUGAUGCCUGACGCAUCAGCACCAACUGCUCCCCACGGUCCACCGAUUGGUUCAGGCAUCAGACCAGUGCUUAUAUCAUCCUCAGUUUUAAACCAAUUACAUUGUUCGGUCUUUUGACUAAAUGCUAAGAAUUUAGCUUGCUCUUACCGAAUUGUAUGACACAACAAUUUGACCUCAAUGAGAAGAUGUGAGGAAAAAAGAAAAAAAAGGGGAAACGACAGUUUGGUGGCUGGAAAUGGCUGGCUGAUAAAGUAAAAGGGGAAAGCUAAACGUCUCUAAAGUACAAUGCAUAUGUAGUAAGACAAGAUGCGCAACACUAGAGUCGAAAUAGGGAGCGACAGAAGAGACUAUAUUAGUCGGUGGCCAUACAGCUACAAACGGUUGUUGAAAGUGCAACUACAAGCAGCUAUUGAAGGUGCAUAUGCAAAUUUGGCAAAUGCCUUUGGAGUUGUACUCUCAUCAUAAAAUAAUUCACUCAUUGGUUCGUAAUCUUAGUUGG
rnacentral:lncRNA from 1 species